rnacentral:rRNA from 1 species
AGCCUUGAUGUGUAGGAUAGGUGGGAGGCUUAGAAGUGUGGACGCCAGUCUGCAUGGAGCCGACCUUGAAAUACCACCCUUUAAUGUUUGAUGUUCUAACGUGGACCCGUGAUCCGGGUUGCGGACAGUGUCUGGUGGGUAGUUUGACUGGGGCGGUCUCCUCCUAAAGAGUAACGGAGGAGCACGAAGGUUGGCUAAUCCUGGUCGGACAUCAGGAGGUUAGUGCAAUGGCAUAAGCCAGCUUGACUGCGAGCGUGACGGCGCGAGCAGGUGCGAAAGCAGGUCAUAGUGAUCCGGUGGUUCUGAAUGGAAGGGCCAUCGCUCAACGGAUAAAAGGUACUCCGGGGAUAACAGGCUGAUACCGCCCAAGAGUUCAUAUCGACGGCGGUGUUUGGCACCUCGAUGUCGGCUCAUCACAUCCUGGGGCUGAAGUAGGUCCCAAGGGUAUGGCUGUUCGCCAUUUAAAGUGGUACGCGAGCUGGGUUUAGAACGUCGUGAGACAGUUCGGUCCCUA